rnacentral:rRNA from 1 species
UACAGAGGUCUCGAGCGUUGUUCGGAUUCAUUGGGCGUAAAGGGCGCGUAGGCGGCUGGGUAAGUCUGGUGUGAAAUCUCGGAGCUCAACUCCGAAAUUGCACUGGAUACUGCUCUGCUAGAGGGCUGGAGAGGAGAUCGGAAUUCACGGUGUAGCAGUGAAAUGCGUAGAUAUCGGGAGGAAGACCAGUGGCGAAGGCGGAUCUCUGGACAGCUCCUGACGCUGAGGCGCGAAGGCUAGGGGAGCAAACGGG